GAGAGAGAGAGAGAGAGAGAGACAAGGAGCUUCUUGCUAAGGCGUUUUAUAGGUGACGUACUGUCUUACGCGGGGUGCUCUAGGCCCACUCACAGGCUUGUUCGCAUCCCAAAAUGACAUUUCUCCUGCAGUCCCUCUUCAGUUUCCCCUGCCCCGCCUCCGAGGUGAGGCUGAGAAGUCUGGGGUGUGUGUGUGUGUAUGAUGGGAGACGAGGAGGGAGGUUUGGAAAGAGAAAGAGGGGGGGAAGGAGAAGGGGGGGGAGGAUUAGUUCUUCAGCCGGGAGACCAACGAGGGAGCUUCAGACCCACAGAGAGAAGACCGAGGGGUGGGAGCUGCGGAAAGAGACCCUCCCUUUGGGGUAGGGGGUCUUGGAUCGCUUGGAAGAGGAGAGAGAGAGGAUCAUUGCACCGCUUCUGCAGGAUCGAGGAGGCGACCACCCGUUCUGGCUGCUCCUGGUUUUUUCCUCCCUCCAUCCGAAUCGCGCUCCACUUCCUUGUUGGCGGAAAAGAGGGAAAAACAGAGAGAGAGAGCGAGAAAGAGAGAGAGAAGAAGGCAAACCUCAGAAGGAGGACUGUUUCUGUCUUUGGUUAUCUAGCUGUAUGAGUGUUAUCAAGCCAUCAUAAAGCUAGAUAACCGAAAGUAGAAAUGACUUCCAUCGCCUUCUGGAAGGAGAAGAGAAGAACGAGGAGGAAGAGGGGGAAAAAAAGGAAAAGAAAAGAAGAAGAAAAGUUUGAAGAACGGAAGACAAGAGCAUCAUCCUCAAAUCUCCAAGAAGACCAACAGACCGGACCACCCUUCGAAGGAGAUGCUCAGAUCUGCAAGAACAGAUGCCUACGAUGGGGAAUUCCAAGAGCCUGGAAAACAGUCGGGUUUGCUACCGACGCAAGCAGGCGUGCGUUUCCUGAUUCAUGGAGAGGAGCCGGUUUUCAUGCUCUCCGUCAUCACGAGGACCUACCAGGAAAGCAUUUUCAAGACAAGGAGCCUCAGGUGGUCUUUUUGGAUUUCCUGAUGGGGCUCGGGAGCAAAAGGAAAGAGCCCCGUUCUGGCCACGUGAAGAGAACAAGGCACAGCCUCAGUUUCCGUUCUGUCCUUUUGAGCCGUGACUGUCACACUUUUGACUGAAAUGGAUGCUCCAAGCGAUUCGACUGGAGCUACGCCAACCUUGCUUUAGGAAAAUAUCUGCCUUUUCCAACUGAUCAUAAGGGACAAACAUUUUCGAAAUAUGUUGAAAAUUGUUAUCAGUGCUCAUAUUUUUAUGCCGUCCUUGAAACAAAAUGAACUUGUCUGGCGCUUUCUCUUGUCAUUGUUUGAAAAGAGUGUCAACAAUAAACACAUUUACUGUUUUCA
rnacentral:lncRNA from 1 species